ACAAUUCUUGCGGGCAGAAGGCAGGUUCGCGGCAGUUUUGCAAAAAUAAAUAUAAACGUCAAUUAAAUAAGGAAAACGUGCAUCGAUUGCACACAGGCCACAAUCUGGGUCAGAAUUGUGGUGUGAAAUUGUUUGAUCAUUGUGCAGGAGGCAAGAAAAGAGACCAUAACAGCGACUCGUGGACGGCCGUCGCAAGAAAAGAAAUUGAUGUACACACAUUGCGGCAGCCACAACAACAAAAAGAGCAGCAGCAGCAGUGUCGCCAGGGAAAACACUCGAUAUCGGGAGAGUGGGACCAGAAUCUCGCUCAAAAUAUUUGCUGUUCUGUUUCGCCGACAUGGUAGCCGCCUAGCAGCCGCGUCCGGCCAUUGAGACAUCCUCCCAGGAUCACAUCUCUGAAGUGAAGCGGAGCUUUGCUAAAUCUACAUGGAAACGGACAGCAGCAACAGCAGGGACAGCGUGAACUCGAUACCGCGUCCUGAAUUCGAGGCCCUCUCCGCCAUCGACAGCCCCCAGCCAGUGCUGCUCCUUCAGGGGGACAGUCAUGAUACGGAGCCCAGUAUGCCCCACAAGCGACAAAAGUAUGUGGUGAGUGCCCCACCGGGGUCGGCUGCUGGCAGCAGCAACUCUUCCAACUCCAGUCCCUCGUCAGCACUCGGCCCCUCGCUGACGAUGAAGCUGACGAAGGUGCCGUCGCAGCCGCACCUGCAGGUUCAGGCGGACCCAAAGCCACUGGGAUCGUCAACGCCGAAGGAGGUCAAGACGCCGAAGGUGCCCAAGGAGAUGGUGGCCCUUCAGAAGUCACAAAUGGAGUCGGAGGUGCUCAGCCACUUUGUGGCAGAUGGCUCGAAGGUGAAGCGCCGCAAGUCGCGCUUUGCUACAAAUCAGCUAAUGAAAGAGGCCCAGGAAGCCGAGGAGGUGUCGUCCCGCAAGUCUUCCUCCAGCUCCAGGGGCCGCAGCAAGGGCAAGAAAAAUCAGUUUAAGACACGCAGCAAGAGCAUACCAAACCCGUCCUGGGACGGGGAAGAUACCGAUUGGGCAGAAGGCCAGAGGCUGGCGAAGAAAGCACGCCAAAUGCGGGGCCUUUCAAUGGCCAACGAUUGCGGAGAACGCCAGCUGGGACUCGAUGGCGAAGAUAGUAACAGUAACUCAACUGUGGAAUUGACACGCUCCAGUCAUCGCUCCCGCAGCAAGAGCCACUCGCUUAGCAACAGCUGCAGCAAUGAGGAGCAGCGCCCGGCGAAACGCGCCAAUCUACGCACCGAGAACGCGGAGUUUGCCAAGAAGCAACGCGCCUUCCUGGACAGCAUCAUAAGUGAUCCGGAAUCGGAGCAAAAUCCUCAAACUGUGAACGAGGUCGAUAGCGAUUGGAUCAACGCCUCGGCGGGCGGUGAGCAAGAUUCCGAUCUGUCGACGUUCUUGGAAUUCAAUAAUUCGAAUACAGAGAAGGAGCCAGAGCCAGAGGACAUAGUAUAUGACCGAUUGAUGCACAUCUACAAGACGCCACCACGGAAAGGUUGGGAUCCUUUCUGUUGGAAGUGCCGGGUAGCUGGAGACUUACAGGCUUGCAGCAAGUGUGUUCGCUCGUUCCAUAGCUAUUGCGUAAGGCCAGCCACGACGAAAUUCGAUAGCCACUGGAAGUGUCCCGAGUGUUUGCUGCUCGAACCUGGCCCCAAAAGGAUGCGCCGCAACGAAGUCUCCGCCGAUCAGCUGAGCCAGCUGCUGUUCUUUUCGCUCGAACGCAUGAAGCUAUUACGCGGACUCCCGAAGCUGCGUGCGCCCGAGGAUGUGUUGCCGGAAACCUACAAAAAAUUCUUUGUGCAUACCGUGAGCUUCGAGACCCUGACCGAGUGCAUCAGGAACAACGUCUUUGACUCUGCGGAUGCGUUCAUGAGCGAGGUCAAGUGGAUGCAUCACAAUGCGCUGAUAUUGGACUCUGGCGACAUCAAGGUGGAGACGCCGGCGAAGCAGUUGUUGAAGGUGUGCCGCGAGGAGACCAUGGAGAUAGACACCUGCCCCGAGUGCUAUCUGAAUGCCAACUCCAGCGACGAGUGGUUCGUGAAGGUGUGCCGCCACCCGCAUCUCUUGCUGUGGGCCAAGCUCAAGGGAUUCCCCUACUGGCCGGCCAAGGCUAUGGGCUUGACCGACAAGGGCAUGGUGAACGUGCGCUUCUUUGGCAAGCAUGAUCGCGCCCAUGUGCACGUGAAGGAUUGCUUCCUGUACUCGGCGCAGAAUCCCAAUAUACAGACCAGUCGUCGCAUGGCCCGAGAACUGGUCGACUGCAUCGCUGAGGUGGAGGUGCAUAUUGAGCAUAUCAAGCGUAAGAGUGGCUCCUUCUGCUACGCCCCCUAUCGCACCCCCUACGAUCCGGUCGUGGAGCAGCAGCAGGUCGAGGACAUGAUGCCAGGCGUAUACGCGGCCGUCGAUCGCACCAUGGAGCCGGCCAACAAGACGCCGCUGCAGUUUCUUAUUCGCAAAACGGCGGGCGAUAAGCUGUCCAUUGUGAAGAAGACAAAGGCCACCGAGUCGGGAAAUGAGUCCGAUCAGUCGGUUAGUCCGGCCAAGAAGCUGCCACCGCCGCCACCACCGCGACCAUUGCCGCAGCUUCAAGGCCUAGAAGAAGCCCCGGCUUCCAGCAGUGAGCAUGUCAAGCAGAAGAGCAACAACUACGAGGUCAUACCCCGUUCGGCUGAAUCGCUGACCGACUCUCGCUGCAAAGUGCUGCUCAAGCGGAAGAACCUGGCAGCAAAGACCACACCACCCACCGCCGCGGGCUCCAUGGAGAGUCCAGAGGUGGUUGGCAAGAGGCGUAAACAUUCCUUGAGCGAUACCAGCGGCACCUCCGAGUCGAGUCGUCGCGAAAAGCACACACAUGCACGCAAGCAGCAGGCAGAACAGGAACAGGCACGGGCACAGGAACAGCAAGCGAGUAAUCGGGCUAAUGAGCAGGAGGAGAAGAAGGACGAGUCGUCGCUGCUUUCUGGGUCGGAGAUGCAUUUACAAUUUUCAGAUUCACAAAACGAUACCGCGCCCGAUCCCCUCGGAUGGGUGGAUAUUGUUAGACGUCGUCAAGGCGUGACCAUAACCAAGAUACCACGCGAGCAGCAGCAGCAACAACAACAGCAGCAGGGUGCCUCGUCAACAAGUGGCGCCGCCUCUCCGGAAGCCGCCAAGCCAGCGCCCAAGCAGCCACCGGAGAGAGCCGAAGCAAAGGGCAUGAAGAGGUCCGAAGUUGAACGCCAGCAGGAGCAGCUCAUCAAGAAAGUGAUUCCAUUUGUCGAAGUUGAAGUCAAAGCCGAAGUGAUAUCGGAACCCGAGCCCGAGGAAGAAGCCCCCAAGCCGCAGGAGUCUGCCAAGAAGUCGCCUAAGCCAGCUAAGGAAAAACAUAAGCCCCCGGCAGAGAAGCCACAAAAUCAGAAAGCACAGAAGGAGCCAAAAGAGAAGGUUAAUCCACCGCAGGAACCGAGGAUUACAGUGCCUGUGCCCACACCACCGCCAGAACCAGUCGAGGCUCAGCCUGCUGCCGCUGUUGCGGAGCUCGUGACCAUCAAGGAGGAGAUUCUCAGUGAGGAGGAAGUGGAGGCGGAAACAGAGCCGGAGAUAGAGACCCACAUCGACAGACGUUGCUUGUUAUUGCCACAGGCAAUGCCGCCACCGCCGUCACAGCCCCUGGCCGUCAGAGUGGAGGCAGCGCAACCGAUGCGCGAGGAGACGCCCACAGUGCGCUAUGUGGGCGAUACAUCCAUCCAAAAGAUCAGCCACAAGCAGGCAGCGGCUAAGGCCAUGGACGCACCAUCCAAACGCAGGGGCGUACCAUAUGGCCCUCUGCCUCUGUCGGGGCAACCCUCCACCUCGCCAGCGCACUCGCCAGGCCCCUUGCCGGUCGUCAAACCACCUGGCGUGUCUGGCGUGUACGUGGUAAGCAAGCCGCCGACACCUGCACCGCCAAAUCUGCGACAAAAAAGUGACCGCAACAUGAAUUCCACUCAACCGGUGCCGCCGAUGCCACCGUCGUUGGGUGGUCUGCCCUCCACAUCCCCAACCACAUCGAGCCUGCUGCGAUCCAACAUGGUGGUCAUACCGGUGGAGCAGGCAAACGGCUGCAGUCUGAACAGCCCCAUGACGAUACCAGUUCCUCCCCUGCGAGCCGUGUCCAAGAGCACGCUCCAGAACUCGACGUUCCUACCAAGCAUUCCCAUUCCUCCUGGUCCUGGACUGUCCAGCACCAGUGUUUCUGGUGUUUCAAUGCCACCGCCGCUGGCGGGUCUGAGCAUGCCCCAGAUGGGCACGUCCACUUCUCAAGCCACCUCCAUGCCGCCCACUAUGGAACCGGGCGGCCUACUGGCCAACGCACUGAACGGACUGCCCAACGAGACCUUAGUGAGCGAGUCGCGACAGACUGAUUCGUUCCAGGCUCUGAAUGAAAUACUCAUUCGCUCUGGUCCGCCCAAGCUGGUGCCACGUCCCUGCGGUCCGCUGCAGUCGGAUGGCUCCCAAAUCUAUCCAUCGCAUGCCGGACCCGUCUCUCAACGUCUCAAAGACAAUGCAUACAAGAUCACGGACUACUUCAUAUCCGUAAUCGAGGACACGCUUACCGAUCUGGGGGCGGGUGAUCAGAGUUUGCUGCAGGCUCGCAUCACCAGUCUCACCCUGGAGAACGAGCGCCUCAGGCAGGAGUGCAGCCGCAAGAUUUCGGAUAUGAAGCGCUGCAACGAUCAGAUAGUCAAGGAGCUGCACAAGACGCUGGAUCAGGAGCACAAGCGCGUGAUCUGUGAGAUGCGUCAGCAGAGCACACUGGAACGCAAUCAUGCCGUCGACGAAACCAAGAAGAAACAGUGGUGCGCCAAUUGCAUGCGUGAGGCGCAGCUUUACUGCUGCUGGAACACCUCGUACUGCGACUAUCCCUGCCAGCAGAUGCACUGGCAACGUCACUCGACCACCUGCGGCCAGGCCGCCGCUCUGGGACUGGGGGAAACGAUCGAUUUGACGCCACCGCCGGUAUCAGAGCCCACUCGCUCCAGACCCAAGCCCACGAUUGCCAGUCCAAUGGCGACAGCGAUUGCCAGUCCGAUGGCUACAGCGAUGCCAGUAGCGACACCUGUACCCGCACCAGUACCGACACCAGCCCCAACGCCAGCACCCAGUAACGCGAUCCCCACCCCACAACUGCAUCGGACAGUCACCAGUGCGAUUCCGAUGCCAACCGCAUCGGGUUCGGGAUCUGGUGGAUCUCUUGCCGGGCCAGCCCCCAAAAAGUGGCAGAACAUGUCACUCAGCACUCAUCCCGCCAGUCAGGAGAGUUUGCUCAGACAGUCUGGUCCCCUGCUGGCCGGACUGCCAUCCAGCACAUACGUACGUCCAGUGGUCAGCGCUACGCAGCCCUCCUCGACAUCAGUCAGCAACGUGGUCAACACGACCUCAUUGAUAACACCAGCGCCGACAUCUUCAGCCCCGCAUAUUGCCACCAUCAUAGCCGCCGGCCCGCGUAACACUAUAAACACGUACAACUAUGGCAGCAGACUGCCCACCCCCCAGCCUAUGCCCAUGCAACAUUACAAUAUACCAGUACCCAUCUCUCUGCCCAACAAUAUUCCGUACACUGUGAUGGCGGAGCAGCCGCCAAAGCCAAAGUCCUCGGGUCGUCGAGGUCAAAAUCGCAACCGCAAUGGCAACAGCAGCAGCAGCAGCAACACCAACAAUGGCAACAGUACGAUGGGAAUGCGCCACAACCAAGUGAACCAAAUGCAGUUUCAGCAGUAAGCAAGGGGACUGGGACUGACUGUAAACUGUAAGGAGUACAUAAUUUCCCACCUGAAGAGACUGCCUGUGAUGGAUGAGGACAUCUUUUUUUUCUACAUAAUUCCCAGAUAUUCUAAAUAUCUCAGAAAAGAGAUUCUUUUUAUUUUUUUUCUUUACCCCGUAACCCCGUAUUAAAUAAAGGAGAACCCUUAAUAAAUAAUAUCAUUAAGUCUUUGGCAACGGACUACCAGAGAUUACGAGAAGAGGAUCUCGCACCGAAGGAGUGUAUAAAAAAAAGUCAUUUUUGUGUAAUUUUAAAAGAUAGGUGUAAGAGAAAAGCUACACUAAGUAGAUAGGCUAAGCAUAGCAAGUAUGAGUUGCAAACACACCUAAGGAUCAUCCACAUUCUCACUAACAACAGAAUCAAUCACAUUACAUCGAUUACAUAGAUUGUAUGUAUACUUAAACAAGCAAAGCUGCAUUAUUGAAGUCAGAAGAUAGCAAUUAAAAUGUAACUACAUGUUAGAAAUCGUUCGAAUGAUUACUCAAUCUUGAUUUAUCCACUAAACAAGUAAAUGAUAAACAAUUACAACACACACACACAUUUUAUUAUGCUAGCAAACACCUGUAAUGCAAAAUGAAUUCUCCCUUAUGAUGAUCGUAAUGCCACAAAAUGUUCAAUCAAUGUCCAACUUCUUGAAGUUACCCUCAAUGCCAAAGACAUCGGAGACGGUCUUGGCUUUUCCAGGCCUCAGUUUCUCAUUGACCUGAUGGCGCGUCUCAAACUCAAGCAUUUCCCUGCGAUUGUUCAACAGUUUCUUGUAAUAUAUCUCUGCAAAUGUGUCAAUAUAUAUAAUA